CAUUGCCUGUCCCUAGAAUACCCUUCCUUUAACUGAAAGAUCAACUGCAUCAGUAUCUCCCUUUAGGGCUGCCCAGCCUUGAGUGUCUGCUUGACUCUUACCCGAUCUUUCCUGUUCCUCGGUAAAGAGCGUGACACACCAUAAUGGUACUUAUAGAAGGGUAUAAGGACAAAGCAAGUAGAGAAGAACCCCUUCCCUAGGAUGUCUGUCCCUACCCCAGAGCUCCGUAUAUUGCAUUUCAGGUACUUCAGAGUCAAAAGGGCAUCUUUGUAUUUAGCGGUCAGAGAUAUUUUUUUUUUUCUUCCAUAAAUUUGAUCAGUCACUUUUUGGACCCAUGUAUAUUGAGCAUUCUGAUACCCUUGUGGCAAGGAUAACUUAAUUGCACAUUGUGUUGGUAAUCUUCUUUUAUUUGUCUUUAUACCGUGACCACCUUCUUUCAUUUGAUGCCCUUUAACUCUUGUAUUCUAAGAAUAUGUGGGCAACUACAGUCUAUUCCUCUUCAUCAUGUUAUUCAGAACAAUAUAGAUACCUGUCACUUCUCUCCUUGCUCAGGCUGUAAUUCCAUGGGACUGUGUCACUCUCUGCAUGGAAGCUGUCACCCAACCCUGAACCGUACAGCAAAAAUUAAUUGGCCUCUACUUAACCAACAGCCUGUGUACCAGGAAUAUGCUCCAGACUCCCCACCUUGGAGGAGCAGGUCACGGUGAGGGAAGGCGAGCUGGCCUGAAUGUUUCGUCUUCUGUCCAGUAGCACGGGAUCAACUCUUCCUGAAUUCCCACCUCUGAGGAUCCCAUUUUGCAUGUACCAAGCAAAGACGUUUUUAGAGGCUGAUAGUUUUCUCCCAGGAAGCCUCUGCCCAUGCUGAGCUGUUUGAAGUUAUGGCAGAUCCUCUGUGCUGGCCAGACAGGUCAUGUACCACAGACAGUGUGGUACAGCAUAGACAGUGUGUCCCAAGUGUCAAGUGUUGGGCAGGACACUUUCCAGUCUUGCCUACUGGCUCCAGAAAUGCAGGCAAACUGACUUUUCCGUGCUCAUAUCUCCACAGUAAGGAACAGAGAAGAAGAGGAAGGCGACGGCUCAGCAGUUCUAGUGCGGAAAACAGACAAGAAGAGGGGUGGGAAGCAAAGACAGACUGAGGAAGGCGGGACAUCUCAGGCAGUGAUGUGAUGGAGAAGAUGGGACAGGCUGGUCUGUAAUUGCUUAAGGGCACUGCUUGUAGAGACUGGUCUUGAAUUCAGUACUCAUGGCCCAGCCUGGUGAGACUCGGGACCAAGUGCUGAGGCUGAACAUGACGCUACGACCCAGCAAGUACAAAACAGAAGGGAGAGAGCAGGUCUCUUCCUGAGACUCUCUUUUAUAGCACAAUGUCUGCUAACGUAUACAGCAAGGUCCUGAGAUGUUUCUGGACCUGGACGGGGCUUUGAGCAACCUGGUCUAGUGAGAGGUGUCCCUGCCCAUGGCAGGGGGCGGGGCUGGAUGAUCUUUAAGGUCCCUUCCAACCCAAACCAUUCUGUGAUUCUAUGAUUCUGUCAACAGCUGAGAGUGCAGUGAGACCAGGAGCUUUACAAAUUGCACAUGUAAUUAAUAUUUCUCAUGUACCUGAUGUGUUCGACGGCAUAUCUUCAGGCACGUUAAGGAAACAUACCAACUGCUUGCAAGUCGGGGAUGGAGCUGGAUAAAAUGGAAUAGAAUGGCUCCCUGUGGAGA
rnacentral:lncRNA from 1 species